UGGGGAAUUUUGGACAAUGGGCGAAAGCCUGAUCCAGCAAUGCCGCGUGUGUGAAGAAGGCCUUCGGGUUGUAAAGCACUUUUGUCCGGAAAGAAAUCCUUGGCUCUAAUACAGUCGGGGGAUGACGGUACCGGAAGAAUAAGCACCGGCUAACUACGCGCCAGCAGCCGCGGUAAUACGUAGGGUGCAAGCGUUAAUCGGAAUUACUGGGCGUAAAGCGUGCGCAGGCGGUUUGCUAAGACCGAUGUGAAAUCCCCGGGCUCAACCUGGGAACUGCAUUGGUGACUGGCAGGCUAGAGUAUGGCAGAGGGGGGUAGAAUUCCACGUGUAGCAGUGAAAUGCGUAGAGAUGUGGAGGAAUACCGAUGGCGAAGGCAGCCCCCUGGGCCAAUACUGACGCUCAUGCACGAAAGCGUGGGGAGCAAACAGGAUUAGAUACCCUGGUAGUCCACGCCCUAAAACGAUGUCAACUAGUUGUUGGGGAUUCAUUUCCUUAGUAACGUAGCUAACGCGUGAAGUUGACCGCCUGGGGAGUACGGUCGCAAGAUUAAAACUCAAAUGAAUUGACGGGGUCAUAGCUGUUUCCU
rnacentral:rRNA from 1 species